rnacentral:rRNA from 1 species
GUUUGAUCCUGGCUCAGAUUGAACGCUGGCGGCAGGCCUAACACAUGCAAGUCGAACGGUAACAUUUCUAGCUUGCUAGAAGAUGACGAGUGGCGGACGGGUGAGUAAUGCUUGGGAACUUGCCUUUGCGAGGGGGAUAACAGUUGGAAACGACUGCUAAUACCGCAUAAUGUCUUCGGACCAAACGGGGCUUAGGCUCCGGCGCAAAGAGAGGCCCAAGUGAGAUUAGCUAGUUGGUAAGGUAACGGCUUACCAAGGCGACGAUCUCUAGCUGUUCUGAGAGGAAGAUCAGCCACACUGGGACUGAGACACGGCCCAGACUCCUACGGGAGGCAGCAGUGGGGAAUAUUGCACAAUGGGGGAAACCCUGAUGCAGCCAUGCCGCGUGUGUGAAGAAGGCCUUCGGGUUGUAAAGCACUUUCAGUUGUGAGGAAAAGUUAGUAGUUAAUACCUGCUAGCCGUGACGUUAACAACAGAAGAAGCACCGGCUAACUCCGUGCCAGCAGCCGCGGUAAUACGGAGGGUGCGAGCGUUAAUCGGAAUUACUGGGCGUAAAGCGCACGCAGGCGGUUUGUUAAGCUAGAUGUGAAAGCCCCGGGCUCAACCUGGGAUGGUCAUUUAGAACUGGCAGACUAGAGUCUUGGAGAGGGGAGUGGAAUUCCAGGUGUAGCGGUGAAAUGCGUAGAUAUCUGGAGGAACAUCAGUGGCGAAGGCGACUCCCUGGCCAAAGACUGACGCUCAUGUGCGAAAGUGUGGGUAGCGAACAGGAUUAGAUACCCUGGUAGUCCACACCGUAAACGCUGUCUACUAGCUGUGUGUGUCUUUAAGACGUGCGUAGCGAAGCUAACGCGCUAAGUAGACCGCC